rnacentral:rRNA from 1 species
AACGCUAGCUACAGGCUUAACACAUGCAAGUCGAGGGGCAGCAUGAGCUUAGCUUGCUAAGCUUGAUGGCGACCGGCGCACGGGUGAGUAACGCGUAUCCAACCUUCCGCUUACUCGGGAAUAGCCUUUCGAAAGAAAGAUUAAUGCCCGAUGGUAUCUUAAGCACACAUGUAAAUAAGAUUAAAGAUUGAUCGGUAAGCGAUGGGGAUGCGUUCCAUUAGGUAGUAGGCGGGGUAACGGCCCACCUAGCCGGCGAUGGAUAGGGGUUCUGAGAGGAAGGUCCCCCACAUUGGAACUGAGACACGGUCCAAACUCCUACGGGAGGCAGCAGUGAGGAAUAUUGGUCAAUGGGCGAGAGCCUGAACCAGCCAAGUAGCGUGAAGGAUGACGGCCCUACGGGUUGUAAACUUCUUUUGUGCGGGAAUAAAGUCACCUACGUGUAGGUGUUUGUAUGUACCGUAACGAAUAAGCAUCGGCUAACUCCGUGUCAGCAGCCGCGGUAAUACGGAGGAUGCGAGCGUUAUCCGGAUUUAUUGGGUUUAAAGGGAGCGUAGACGGGUCUUUAAGUCAGCUGUGAAAGUUUGGGGCUCAACCUUAAAAUUGCAGUUGAUACUGGCGUCCUUGAGUACGGUUGAGGCAGGCGGAAUUCGUGGUGUAGCGGUGAAAUGCUUAGAUAUCACGAAGAACUCCGAUUG